rnacentral:misc_RNA from 1 species
AUGUUAUUUCUAAACUAGCCCCAGAUCAGAAAAGAAAAGCAGCUUUGCUUGUUCAAGCAUUUGGAACGGUCGUUCCAUUAGUGGAACCUGGUACCAGUCCGAGGUCUAGUGUAUCUGCUUCUUCACAUGCAUCUCCAGUUCAAACGGCUACUGCUUCCUCAUAUGAAAAGGGUUCUAGAAAAAGGAAAGAAACCAAUUUUGGAAUCUCUCUUCAUAAAUCAUCAUGCCCUGACAUGAUUUACAAAGAUGAUCAAGACCAAGUCUGUGACUCCACAAAAAAAGAGGGCAUUCCAGAGUCUUGUUUUGAGCUCAAUGAGCCAAGUUCAGAAUCUGGUUUCAUUCAUAGUGCGCCAAGUAUUUUGACAUUUGAAUCCACUUCCGCAAACUUAAAGGAAAGUUUUGGAGUUCUCAAUCCUUGUAAUAGCGACCACAAUUACAAUGCCAAAGACAAUGACCCUGAUACUGUUAGUUACUGUUUAGUGGAGCCAAGAGAAGCUGCACAGACAGAACGGGGUGAGUCUUCCAGGACUGCCACUGCAGAAGACCAGGAUACUCUGACUCGCAUUGAGCUUAUAAUGGUGCAGAUAGAGCAAAAACUGCUGCAAGUAGAGCAGGAUAUUUCUCAAAUCCAUGCUCUCCUUCAGCUUAUAGUCUCCUUGCUACCUCCCCCAGCUCCCCAGUGAUGAUGAUAAUUAUUUUAUUUCCUUCUGAGAUAUAUGCAUCCUUAUUUUGCUGGAUAGUACAUUUUAUUACCUCCCACCCCCCCUCCCCAUUUUGGGAUAUUAUGUAUUCAUAUAUGUUGAUGUACAUGGGAUGUACAUGGUUGGAGGAGGGCUAGUUUGACUACUUGUAGGUUAUUAUUUUUUUUUGGAUGUGUUUAUACUAUGCUAAUUAUAUUUAUCUUCCUCAUGAAAUAUGUGUGUGUGUGUGAAUAUGUAUGGAUGUGCGCAGACAUAAAUUUGUAGGAAUGCUAAUGCUUAUAUCUAUAUACUUAUGUUAGAGGAAGUUAUGAAGGUAAA